GGGUUCCAGGGCCAGGCUAAUCCGCCCUGGGUAAGUCGGGACCUAAGGCGAGGCCGACAGGCGUAGUCGAUGGACAACGGGUUGAUAUUCCCGUACCGGCGAAGAACCGCCCCAGUCAAUCCAGUAAUGCUAAGACUCU
rnacentral:rRNA from 1 species